CCUAAGGUCUUCCUUCCAGAACGAGGCCCAUGAGACUGAAGCCCUGCUUUAUGAAAGGCAAUAGAGCCAAGACUAGAACAAAAGAACACAAAUUACAUCUGUUGCCUUCUCUUUAGCUUGACAACUAUGGGGGGGUCUUCAAAAAGUUCAUGGAAAGACUGGAAGUCCUGGUCUGGAUGGUGCUGUGGCUCACUGAGCAUCAAUGACUCUCACUGCUGGGGAGACAAAGCACUUGACAAUCUACAAGGAUGCAUUCUGCAUGCCCUUGAGAAUGGUAUGUACACAAAAUGUCAGCGUUUGCGGGUUCGAGAAGGAAGGAAACCAGACAUGGGUCCCGCAGACAACUACCGAACAGCUGCAGCUCCUGUGGACCUGUCCCUGCCUUUGUGUCUUUCGAUUCCUGUUUGGCUCUGGUCCAGUGAUUUGGGCCCCAGACGAGGGUUUUAUUAUCUUUGGCUGCUCAGCAGACUUCAAAAGAAGAAGAAAAGUUCUCACUGUGCAGACGGCUUUGCCUGCAGGUCCAUCCAGCAAGACAAGUUGCCCUUGGGCUGUUGCUUUUUGGUCUCCUGGGCACUUACACUGGAGAGGACUUGGCUAAUACUGGUCAUCUGGGACGAGGGGCUGCUUUGGACAAAUGGCACAAAGAGGGCAAGGCUGGGCAUUCUAGGAAGUGGGGUGAAAAAAAUGUGA
ensembl:lncRNA